GUUCGGCCAGACGGUAUGGACAAAGAAAAGGCUAUCUGACAACAAUAACUGCGACAAAGAAUGCUACUAGUGACCCUCGCAAUUGAUACAAAAAAACCAAAAAAAAGACGAAGAAGAAGACGACGGAAUAAAAUAAGAAAACAAAAUUGUAUCUCCUUACAGUUGACCACAACGACGCUGUACGGGAGAAGAAAAUGGAUAUAAUAUCUACAUUGCGCGUGUGACCUUUAGAAUAAUUUAUAUUAUAUACUCGCGUGUGUGACCAUGAGAACUAUUCGCGUGUGUGCAAAUUAGAAAACUGUCAAAAGUUUGGACAUAACGAGAAAUGCUCAACUAACACAACUUGCACUAAAUUCAUUGAAAUAAAGAGAUCCUCACGUGACAUUUCCGAUGAUGACGUAGUAUGAUGUAUUCAAUUCAUUCUUCAUUAAGACAGCGAGGUGGACAGACGUGUGCUUGUUUCAUCAAACGAAAUAUUUAGAGCCCAGUACCGCAGGAUGAUAAAGGAAUUGACCUUGGUGGCAUUUAAAUGUGCAGCACCUGAUGAAACCACGAGUUUCUUUUCACCGAGGGCGGAAAGUAUUAGACUGUCUUUGCCUGUACAGAGUGACCAGAGUACAUUCAACUUGUCCGUUCGCCCUGCCGUCAACAUGCCGGAAAUUAUUCUGGAAAAGCAAGUAUAGUUUAUCAUAUCCAGAACAAGUUUAUAAAAACUAUUUGCAUCACCUAAUUAUUAAAAAGAUGUGCGGCACUCUAUGGACCGACAAACAGUAGGAUCAACUGACGGACUAACUGACAAAUAAUUUAAUGAAUUGUUGAUGUAAUAAAAUGUAUUAUUUAAAAAAUUGUUGAUGUAAUAAAUCAUAAUUUAAUAUUAAUAUUUUUUAUAAAUUGUUGAUCAAAUAAAUCCUUUUAUUACUGAAUAAUAAAUAAAAUAAAUAAAAAUGAUAAAUAAAAUACAA